AGACAACCCAUAAUACUUGAUAUAGAAAAUGUUCCAGCUUCCAUAACUCUUUAUUAAAUAUUGACAAGUUGCAGCACUUCUUUACAAUGACUUCAUUUUGUUACAUUACUCUUUCGCUGUGAGGAAAACAAUUGACCAUUUCUUUAGAUCGCUCAAGAAAAAGGAAAAGCAAAAAGGAUUUGUUCUUAAACAAAUUCAACCAUAUUUUAAAGCUGUUCUGAUUGUGAAAAUGAGCAUUAUCCAUAAGUUGUCUUUAAAAAAAAACAACAAACUUCAAGGUAGUUUGGUUUAUACCACAGUAUCAAAUAGUACUUGGCUUCAUAUUAGGAGAUGGGUUUGUAAUAAAAAGUUAUGAAACAUUGAGAAUUCAUUUGGAAUGCUUGAAACUCUUUUCACCUUAAAAGUCACUGUUUUUUCAUGUUUGACUUGAUAACAGAUCCUGAAUUAAGAAAUGACAGCAAAUUAAUCUUCCUAGGGUUCUCUCAGGCUCUGAGGGUCAGAAUUCUCAGGACGCAGCUUGGAAAACUGUAGAAGGGACUAAACUCACUCCCUUUUGAAACCAGAUUACUCAAUAAAGGUGUAAAAAUGCUAUACAAAUACAUACAUGUAUAUUUGGACAGCAUGUGUAUAUAUGUAUACAUAUUACAUACACAGUAGAAAAGGAAGAACAAAGUCACUCAAAGUUAACAUGAAGGAAACGGUGACAAUCGAGGUGAAAUUAGUUGGAGUAAGAGGGGCAAACCAGCUUAUACAGGAACACAGGUAUCCAUAGACACAGGUCAAUGGUCAUAAGGAAGGCUUCGAUGCACAGUUCACGGUUAAGAAUGCAAUACACUAGAGAUCAGGAGCCAACCGCAACAUCAUUAGAUUCCCGCUGUUCCUUCUUCCAAACAGAAAACCGACCGACAGACAUGCACUUUAAACAUGCAUUGCUUUGAGCUAACAUCUUAACAAAGAAUUGAUGUCUAAUGAGAGGUUUUCUUGUAAAAUUUCAUACCAACAGAAAGCUACCCCUUUCCUACAAAACGGGACACAAGCUCCUGUCCUAACGCUAUAGCAUUUUCUCUGCCACAUCAAAAACACUCUAGGGUGGGGGUGUGCAAGUGUAUAUACACUGUUAAGGCUUAUUAUACAAAUUAAAAAAGUGGUCCAAAGUAUAUCACAUUUUCUUCCCAGUUUUAAAAUCUAAAGUACAAAGUGGAGUUUAUAAGGUUUUUUAAAAAAUCACAUCUCGGUCCUGAAAUUGGCAGUUUUGACAUGACUUGUCAGGAUGUACCCCAAUGCCUGAUUGAGACAGAGGUAGUGCAUGAUCUUUGGGGGUCAGGAAGGGAGCAGGCCAGGCAGUUACCCUGCACAGUGGCACCCCCUACUGGCAAGGCAGAAAAUGAUACCAGACAGCAUCUUCCUCCUUCCCCUCUCAGUACAGGGGUGCAGAGUUGGGGUGAGGAGGAGAGAGGAAAAGAAAGGAGAACUAGCAUAGUGGGGAGGGGCUGGGAGUUAACACAGACCUCUUUAUAGAUCUUUAAAUUUCAGAGGUGAGAUACAGGACUCAAAAAAUACAAGAAGUCAAUUGCUACGUAAUUGGUAACUGUUAGAACAAUCGGUAAGUGGCUUUCAAGAGAGCCAAUUUGGAUCUGGCAAGAUCAAACAGCAAUGGCAUGCAUAUGUUGUCUACUUAACAAUGGGAGAUGUGAAAGUGGCUCAAGAAUUUUGCAAACCAUUUCCCAAAAUCUGUCACUGUGUUCUAACAUAGGAGAAAUAAUCCAUGUCAAGUCGCGUUAUGUCAUUCACCAUCUGAAUUUAGGGAAUAUCUGAUGUCACCCACCAAAGGGCCACGGAAACAAAAAUUAAACAAGUAUCUUAGGUACCUGUGAUCUGUUAGAGGACCGGCUACAACAAAAUAAAUGACAGUAAUUGUUUCAGGCAAAAGUAAAAGAGCACUGAAGCCAAGUACACUGUUCAACAAAUGCCUCACUGUUGCCUGGUCCAGAGCCAGUGGGUUGGAAGCAGCACAUGAUCUGAAGUUAAUGCCGCCAGGUGGACUUUCCAAAUUCAUCCUCAGGCCAAGAAGGGGCAGGAAUAGACAGACCCAGGAUCCACAGGCAGAAGUGAUAACUGAUGUCAACAGACCUUCGACAUGCAGCACGUGAGCUUUGGCACUUCUUAGCCUCAUGAUAAGUGGCCCAUAAUAACUAAAGCUUCUGCAGGGAACUAAAGAAACUGGAUUAAGGUGAUUGCCAUGGCUAGGGAGAAAACAGAGGCCAUAGAGACCCUGGACCUGGACUGCAGAGCUGCGUGGCUGCUGGGACAACUAGAAUCAACUAGGACAGGUGACACCUCCCUCCUCCCCCAGGGCUGCUGACCAGAGCAGGUGGAGGCCCUGAGGAGUGCAUCAACCUGCUUGUUACGCGGUGCAUUUUCUCUACUGCCACCUGCAACUGCACCGUGAUGACAAAGAGUGGUGAUUGAGGUUUAGAGAAAACAAGACAUAAGAGCAUUUUAAGCAAAGAGUGAAACUUUGAGAAUAGUUGGGGACUAGUGAAUCUUAUUUUGAUUUUCUUAAAAACAAACCCCAUAUCCAGCAAUAUUUAGUUGUCAAUAAAAUCAGAUAUGAUUAAGGGGUAGAUGAACUGAAGUGUCAUUCACAAUUACUGCCUUUCAAGUAUUCAUAGUAGUAUAUUUCAAUAAUUCUUGUCGUUCCUAGCUGAGAAAUGAUCAGAAUUACUUUUCUUUCAUAUUUUUAAUAAUUGGCCUAACAUGCAUUUAGUGAAUAUUCUGAUUUUUCUUCAAUAUACAAAUGACAGAAGAAUCCCAUUUCUUAAACCAGAAUUGGAUUUCUCCCACUAUAAUUAUAUGAUCCCUCUCAAAAACCAUCAGAAUAUAUUGCUCAGCUCAGGCUUCAGCGUGACUCUUAAAAAGAAAACCGGCUCUGGACUAUGAGGGUUACAAAAAGGGAAUUUUUGCCACUGACAUAUUUGUUAUGUUUAUUGUAGGGGAAAAAUCCUACCAAUAGACACAAAUAAUGAGCAGUAUUGUUUUUUAUAAUUACUUAACAUCUAAGUUUUCUGAUCACUACUAGGUAUUUUAAAGCCAAUAUGAAAAGGGAGCCAAUACUAAGCUCUGUAGAAAUCCACCUUCUUUUAGAAACCUCUGGCCUCUGCACCUCUUUAGACAACUCAUUUAUAACCACAAACAUUCAUGGCUUUUCACAUGCCACACACAGCUGGGUAAAAACAAGCAAUCUCUUAUACCAAAAGGUCCUUCUUACAAAACAAUGGGAGCCCCUGAAACCACAACUUUUUGUCUUAUCUAUGACUGGCAAGAGAUUAAAUCUGUAGAGUCCCCUAACUGCCACACAGGGCUUAGGACAACAUGUAAAAAGGACAGCAGGGUUGCUGAAGUCCCACACUGCCUCAGGCAUUUUUCUCUAAACACAACAGAAUUCUGCAACAGAGACUUACAAGUAGAAAAGAAUCCAACUGUGCAGACAGACACCCUCAAUCCUCUGCCACCACCACCAGCUUAACAGCUUGACCCUGUGGAUCAAACAUUCUCUCUUUUAAUCCAAAGGACACAAGUCAGGCAGCACAAGUAUUGAAGCAUGCAACAAGUCAUAGGCAAUAAAACUUGGUUAGAUUAAGUGUGUAUUAAAUAAAUCUUUGCAGUUGAGUAGGAAUCACAAAACAAGUGGAGGUCUGUAGGCUCAGCUUUACACCCGGGUUUUUAUACACCAGCAGUCAGAUUCACAAUUGGUAAAUAUUGCACCGGAAAGAUGUGUGCAGGGAGAAGAAAUAAUCAUCACAUUUAAUGUUUAUGAUAAAAAAAAAAAAA